GAGAUGAGUUUGAAUUGGUCUGCGGUGUUGUGUCUUUUGUCUUUAAAAUGAGCUGCUCAUAAUGCAUUAAUAAUCCUUUCUACUACAGUUUUUUAGAAAUAUAUUAUGUUAGCCAUGGAGAACUGCAAAUAUGUUGUUACUGCUCUCAAUAACAUUGCUGGCGUGAAUUUAUCAGCUGUUAUCGACAAAAGUCAUGGGGAAAAGGUGUGAUCAUGCCAUGCAAAAUGCUGACUCUCUCAUUUCAUAACACGUUUUGAAAUCAGUGGAACACAACGGACCAAAUAAACUGUGUAAACUAAACAGAAACAACACAAGAUGUCUUAUAAAAGGGGUUGCAGUCUGCCAUUAAGCUUUCAUUAAUGUAUACAGCAUUAAAUCAGUAGAACACGCCUGACUAAUCCACCAGUCAUACAGUCAUCAAAAGAGAGCUGGCCCAAGCAAAAGAAGGCAGCAGCGCAGCCAUCAACUACAUGCACCGUUUUUUCACUAACUACGGAGUUGGUAAAACACUGUGGACCUGAAUUGUAAUAACUGCAGUGGCCAAAACAAGAACAAGUUUGUGCUCUGGUAUUUUGCCUGGUGGACCAUGCACAAGCUCCACCAUAAUCUGGAUCUUCACUUCCUGAUCACAGGCCACACCAAGUUUGCCCCUGACUUUGCUUCGGCCUCAUCAAGCAGCGCUUCAGAAAGACCAGAGUGUACACUUUGUUAGAGAUUGCUGGGGUUGUGAAGGACAGCACUGUGACAGGGGUCAACAUCCCACAGCUGGUUGGACUGGAGGAUGGUACGGUGCUGGUGGAAAGCCAUGGCUGGCAACAACACCUGACUCCCUACUUCAGGCCGCUGCCACAGAUCAAGCAGUGCCAGCCCAUCAGGUAAAUAAAAGCUUCGAUGUUCUGGAGCCUGGUGUUGUUGCCAAGGAGCGUUCGGACUGUCGGGACCAGGUUUCAGCUGCCGCGCAACGCUGACAUCCUUCCUCCCAUAGAUGGUAUGCCUGUAUAAGCACCACCUGGACUGGACAUAGCUAGACAAUAUAUUUUUGACAAGAUUAGGGAGUUGUGCGACGAAGAGGCUAUGGACAUCACAUGCCCUGCACCAAAGUCAAGGACAGGACAGAAACAGGUUCUCCGAAUAUAGAUUCCCUUGUUCAUGCGUGGUUUGGACGGACCAGUCAUCAGCACUAUCUGCAGUGCCUCUAUUCACAUGACUCUCUCCUAACACACACGCCAUAUGUUGCUGAUAUUUUUCUUUAUCCUGCUGCUCAGCCACUUUACCCCUGAUUGUAUGCAUAUAACUACCUCGUCUAUCACUAUUGUUAUUGAUGUUGUUCUUGUACAUACUGUAUAUUUGAUUUAUAUUGACACUAUCUAUUUCUGAUAUUACUACUAUGCAAGUAAACAUUUGGCUUUGGCUGUACCAUUUACAUGUUCUGUAGAGACCAUCCACUCAGCAAGACUUAGCAAAACAUUGAUAUAUAAAAUGAAUAUUGAUGUGUGGUCGUAACAUGAUUUUGUGACAUAACACAACAAUAUCAUGUGUUCGUAUCACGUGACCACCACUUAAAUAUAUGGCGCAUGCAUCUGUUUAUAUACUGUACAUGUGCACCUCACUCAGGUUUCAACUCAGGCAUGGCCUUAACUUAUGUAUGGUAUACUAUGUGAUAAGUGCAUGUGUAACAGUAUAUAAAGUAUGCUAAUGUACUGGUGUGAAGGCAUUUGGGCAGUGGUGUAAAGUACUUAAGUAAAAAUACCCUAAAGUACUAAUUAAGUCGUUUUUUUGUGGUAUCUGUACAUUACUAUUUAUAUUUUUGGCAACUUUUACUUUACUACAUUUUGUAAAGAAAAUAAUGUACUUUUUACUCCAUACAUUUUCCUUGACGCCCAAAAGUACUUGUUACAUGUUGACAGGAAAAUUGUCCAAUUCAAACACUUAUCAAGAGAACAUCCCUGGUCAUCCAUACUGCCUUUGAUCGGGCAGACUCACUAAACACACAUGCUUUGUUUGUAAAUUAUGUUGGAGUGUGCCACUGGCUAUCCAUCAAUAAAAAAUAACUCAAU